rnacentral:rRNA from 1 species
UACGUAGGGGGCAAGCGUUGUCCGGAAUCAUUGGGCGUAAAGCGCGUGUAGGCGGCUCGAUAAGUCCGCUCUGAAAGUCCAGGGCUCAACCCUGGGAUGCGGGUGGAUACUGUCGGGCUCGAGUCCGGAAGAGGUGAGUGGAAUUCCCGGUGUAGCGGUGAAAUGCGCAGAUAUCGGGAGGAACACAGGUGGCGAAGGCGGAUCUCUGGGCCUGUUCUGACGCUGAGGCGCGAAAGCUAGGGGAGCGAACAGG